AGCGGGAAGAGCUCAAAUUUGAAAUCUAGUAGCCUUCGGCUGCUCGAGUUGUAAUCUAGAGAAGUGUUUUCCGUGCCGGCCCAUGUACAAGUCCCUUGGAACAGGGCGUCAUAGAGGGUGAGAAUCCCGUCCUUGACAUGGACCCCCGGUGCUCUGUGAUACACUUUCAACGAGUCGAGUUGUUUGGGAAUGCAGCUCAAAAUGGGUGGUGAAUUCCAUCUAAAGCUAAAUAUUGGCGAGAGACCGAUAGCGAACAAGUACCGUGAGGGAAAGAUGAAAAGCACUUUGGAAAGAGAGUUAAACAGUACGUGAAAUUGUUGAAAGGGAAACGAUUGAAGUCAGUCAUGCUCUUUGGUAUUUAUAUCAUUGAGUGGGGUCAACAUCAGUUUUGAUCGAUGGAUAAAGGCACUAGGAAGGUAGCACUCUCGGGUGAACUUAUAGCCUAGCGUCAUAUACAUUGAUUGGGACUGAGGAACGCAGCAUGCCUUUAUGGCCGGGAUUCGUCCACGUACAUGCUUAGGAUGUUGACAUAAUGGCUUUAAACGACCCGUCUUGA
rnacentral:rRNA from 1 species